rnacentral:lncRNA from 1 species
UUAUCGUCAGGCGACUGGGGUUCAAAUGGAGAAAAGGAGACACGAGGUGUUUUCUGGAGAAUGGGGUUCAUUAUUUUGGCAAACAGGAGAACAGGGUUCAAAUGCAGUGAUCGGGGCUCAUUUGCGCAAAAGAAAAUUUCAGGGUUCAAGAAAAUGAAAAAGAGAAAAAAUUUCGGGGUUCAAGAAAAGCAAAAAAAAAGGGGGGAAGAGG